GAUGAACGCUGGCGGCGCGCCUAGCACAUGCAAGUCGAACGAUUAAAGCACCUUCGGGUGUGUAUAAAGUGGCGAACGGCUGAGUAACACGUGGGCAACCUGCCCCUUUCAUUGGGAUAGCCACGGGAAACCGUGGAUAAUACCGAAUACUUCGAGACUUCCGCAUGGAAGACUCGAGAAAGCUCCGGCGGAGAGGGAUGGGCCCGCGGCCUGUUAGCUUGUUGGUGGGGUAACGGCCUACCAAGGCAAUGAUGGGUAGCUGGGUUGAGAGACCGACCAGCCAGAUUGGGACUGAGACACGGCCCAGACUCCUACGGGAGGCAGCAGUGGGGAAUCUUGCACAAUGGGCGAAAGCCUGAUGCAGCGACGCCGCGUGCGGGAUGAAGGCCUUCGGGUUGUAAACCGCUUUCAGCAGGGACGAGGCGAAAGUGACGGUACCUGCAGAAGAAGCCCCGGCUAACUACGUG
rnacentral:rRNA from 1 species